GAGUUUGAUUCUGGCUCAGGAUGAACGCUGGCGGCGUGCGUAACACAUGCAAGUUGGACGACGGUGCUAUGAAGUGGUAACACGGAAUGGUAUACGGAGUAGCGGACGGGUGAGUAAAGCAUGAGGAGCUGUCCUGUUGAGGGGGAUAACGUUCGGAAACGGACCCUAAUACCCCAUAGGCCGAGAGGUUAAAGGCAGAGAUGCGCGACAGGAGGUACUCGUGUCCUAUCAGCUGGUUGGUGAGGUAACGGCUCACCAAGGCGACGACGGGUAGCCGGCCUGAGAGGGUGACCGGCCACACUGGAACUGAGACACGGUCCAGACUCCUACGGGAGGUAGCAGUGGGGAAUAUUGGGCAAUGGGAGGAAUCCUGACCCAGCGACGCCGCGUGAACGAAGACGGCCUUCGGGUUGUAAAGUUCUUUUAUGUGGGAAGAAGGAAGUGAC
rnacentral:rRNA from 1 species